CCUACGGGAGGCAGCAGUGGGGGAUAUUGCACAAUGGGGGGAACCCUGAUGCAGCGACGCCGCGUGGGUGAAGGAGUGCUUCGGCAUGUAAAGCCCUAUCGGCAGGGAAGAAGCAAGACGGUACCUGACUAAGAAGCCCCGGCUAACUACGUGCCAGCAGCCGCGGUAAUACGUAGGGGGCGAGCGUUAUCCGGAUUCACUGGGUGGAAAGGGAGCGUAGACGGCCAAGCAAGCCAGGGGUGAAAGCCCGGGGCCCAACCCCGGGACUGCCCUUGGAACUGCAUGGCUGGAGUGCGGGAGGGGCAGGCGGAAUUCCUGGUGUAGCGGUGAAAUGCGUAGAUAUCAGGAGGAACACCGGCGGCGAAGGCGGCCUGCUGGACCGUGACUGACGUUGAGGCUCGAAAGCGUGGGGAGCGAACAGGAUUAGAUACCCCUGUAGUC
rnacentral:rRNA from 1 species